GACGAACGCUGGCGGCGUGCUUAACACAUGCAAGUCGAACGGAAAGGCCCUGCUUUUGUGGGGUGCUCGAGUGGCGAACGGGUGAGUAACACGUGAGUAACCUGCCCUUGACUUUGGGAUAACUUCAGGAAACUGGGGCUAAUACCGGAUAGGAGCUCCUGCUGCAUGGUGGGGGUUGGAAAGUUUCGGCGGUUGGGGAUGGACUCGCGGCUUAUCAGCUUGUUGGUGGGGUAGUGGCUUACCAAGGCUUUGACGGGUAGCCGGCCUGAGAGGGUGACCGGCCACAUGGGGACUGAGAUACGGCCCAGACUCCUACGGGAGGCAGCAGUGGGGAAUAUUGCACAAUGGGCGGAAGCCUGAUGCAGCAACGCCGCGUGCGGGAUGACGGCAUUCGGGUUGUAAACCGCUUUCGCCUGUGACGAAGCGUGAGUGACGGUAAUGGGUAAAGAAGCGGGCUAACUACGUG
rnacentral:rRNA from 1 species